AGCGAAGAAAAAUAUGGGAAAAUUGUUUUUAAAUUUAAACUUUUGUCAAUAAUUUCUAAUUUCAUGUCAAAUUUAAGGUGUUCUCUAAACUUUGAAUUUUCCUCAUUACUUUGUUUUUAUCCUCUAUUUCAAUUAAACAUUCUCUCAAUCAAUCAGAUUUUUCAUUAUUAGUAUAUAAAAAUGUAUAACGUUAAUAAAAUUCAGAAUCAAAAAAAAAAGUACAUAAAAAAAAUUUCAUGCAAUAUAAGAGUCAAAUCGGUAUGGUAGGGAUGUCUCUUCGAGCCAAGAAAUCAAGAACGCGGCGGGUCAAUUGCGACUCGUGGAUCGCCAGUUCAUCACCUCUGGCCUAUAGUAUUUAGAAACAUGCGACCACUUAUCCCGAUCAGUUUCAAAUUGUCAAAUUUAAAAUAAUUGGAAUUAGUUCUGAAUAAACAGUUUAGUUAGGAUGAGAAAGAAAUAAGUUCGAUAUCGGAGAGGGUCAAGCGAAAACAUUGAAUCAGGAAGAACGUAGAUUCGUGUGGCGAGUUCUGUAGUGCGUAAGUAUAUACGCAUCGCGUGGCUGUAGGGGGGAAUCCACUCACUCGUAUAAAACCGUAGAACGAGUCGCGGCUCGAGUCAGUUUCGCUCGCGCCUCGCGUGAGUUUCGGUUCGUUGUCGUUGAGAUAACGGCGUGUCCGUGCUUGACGGCGAAUUUCGAUUUUGCCUACGUUUCUUCGCGUGUUCGAUCAAUUUUAAAACGCUUGACUCGUUCGAAUUACUUCAACGACUGUAUUUCCAUUACUUACCCAGAAGUUACUUGUCAUGUUUCGCGAAAAAAAUCGUGAUCGCGAUAAAAUUUUGUGGUUUCCAUCCAUUGCCUUUUUUUGAUACUUCUCGAAGAAUAUUCUAAGAUUGACCUUGAAGACCGCUUCGCUUAUCGGUUUGAAGUUGAUGUUUAUUUUUCACAAGACGUUAACUAUGAGGCUCGACAACCGUAUCGGUGGUUUUAUGAACCUACUUACAAUUUCUCAGGAAUUCGCGGUGGCCGUGAAAGACGAGCAAAGCCACAGGUGGCGGUCAGAGAAUUGAUCAAUGGUGGGGGAAAGUCAAAUGUUUUCGCUCGCGAGUUGCGCUCGCAUCGCUGUUUUUUUUUCACUCGUUAUUGGCGAAGGUCGAACUAUCAUCGUUUGCUAAUUCGCACUUUAAUUCGUACCUACUAGAAUAUCUGUAACUAGAAUAUCUAAUGCAUUUUUAUUUCGUUCGAUUCGAAUUAAUCUUUGUGUACCAUUUUUAAAACGAUUUGGCAAUGUUAUACAAAUAGAACAGCUCGCAUAUAGAACUCGCAAUAGAACUGACAUCGAAUGAAUUAUUUCUCAAUUCUGAGAAUUCUGGGUAAAAAUUAGAACGCGUUAAGAAAAUUAUGGCUCGACUCGCGUGAAUGAUGAGCUCGCAAGUGGUCGUCCAGUUGUUCGAAUGGAUGUUGGCAUUUAAGAAAAGACUUCCUCGUGGUUCGGCACGAGGACAGAUUUAUGCGACCAGACAACCGUGCCGAAGUUGUCUUAGGUCCGGUCAGGAAGCCAGCUAGUAUUUUGGUUCGAAAGUUUGCGAAGCACGUGGCAUCGAUUUUUCGUCGCAUGCUAUUGCAACGUGUCGAAUAUUUUGGAUAGCAACGAAACAGAAGGGAAAGUUUUAAUGUAAAAUUUAAUAAAAAACGAAAUAAUAUAUUCUAAUACUCUUCUACAACUUCGCAACACAUUUAGAACUGUUUCUUUUUAUCACGAAUGUUCGACACUGUAUAAAAAUAUACGACGAUUCAUCGAUAUAUUUUGGCUCGUGCGGAACAAAACUCAAAAGUUUACAACAUUCGUGUUUAUGUUUUGAACAACAUUCUUUACGUUAACUUUAUUUAACUUUUCAUUCGUGAACUCGAUUCCAUUCGUUCGGUUUUUCAUUUUAUUUCUUUGAUUUGGAAAGCGAACGAAAAAGGUGAGAUUUAUUUUCGUCGCUUAUCUUAUCGCGCUACGUCACCGUUUUAAGAAUGCGAAUCGUCGAAAUCUCUUGCCAAGCGCCCGAUUUAAGUACAUACAUACAUAUAAGUGCAUCGAUAUCAAACUAACGACAACCGAAUCAUAUUUUUUUAUAGGUUUUAUUUAUAAUGUUAUAGAAUAGAAAAGACAUGUAAGUACACGAAGAGAUAAAAGAUACGAAUGUCUUUUUGUAAUGAAUUGUCAUCCCAUUUUUAUCAUUUCUUUUUUCCUUUAUACGUAUAAUAAAUACGUAUCUAAAUAAUCAAAUUUCGUCCGUUCUUAAUUGAAUUCAAAGUAAAAAAGUACUCGAGGAAUAUUUUCGAUGAUUAUAAAAACUAUAUAUAUUGAUGCCAAAGUUGAGCAUUAAAAAAUAAAAUUAAAAAUUUUGAAUAUACUUAUUUUUUAUUAAAAUAAGUAAUUUAAUCAAAGUAAUUUAUCAAAAUGCUUGAAUAAUAUAAUUUGUUCGUAAUUAUUGUUGUCCAUUCUUCAUAUAAUUUUGAUCGUUUGACACUACAAUUAUUUGUGAUAAUUACUGAAUAAUUAUUGAAUUAUUGAAAUAAUUUUAUUCUUAAAUUAAAUUAUUAAUUUUUGUCUAUCUCUGACUGACGUUAAUAGAAAUAUUGGAAUGAAUAAUUGAAUGAUUGUCGAACAAAAUAUCAAGGUUAUUCGAAAUUUAAAUAACAUUGAAUUUUAUGUAAUUUUCAAAGACGAGAUAUUCGAAACUUUUCGAAAAAAUUUUUAAUUUUCAAAUUUUUUUAAUUUACAAUUACUUUAUAAUUUGAUUAAUUUUUAAAAUUUAUGUUGAUUAAUAAUUAAAAUAAAUAAUUGAGUUUGUGUUUAAAUUUUAAUUAAUAUGACUUCAAUAAUUUAUUAGACAAAGAAAAAAUAAAAUGUAAAAAAAUUUCAAAAAUCAAAAUUUAUUAAGUUUCGAUUUUUAAUCGAAAAUUUCUUUAAAAAAAGUACAAGAAGAAAUAAAAAUAUAGAUAUAUUUUGGAUUUUGAGAAUUUGAAGUUUCUACAUUUUUAAAAAAUUCAAAAUCUUAAAGUUUCGAAUUUCACAAAUCUGAAAAUCAGGUUUCGACCUAUAUCUUGUAAUUUUAAUGCUACAGAGUCUGUCACGAAAGUUUUCAUAUAUAUGUAGAGUAUAAUGGAUUAUAUAUAGAACAAUUUAUUUUUGGACGAUUUCUUUGCAAAAUUUCUUUGAGAACGUGAAAUCAAUUCUCAAAUUUUCAUGUUUUGGAAAUAUUUUUGAUAAAUUUUUUAAACAUAAUUAAAAAUCUCAAUAUUUUAUAGUGUAAAAUUUUGCUCUAUCUCUAAAAUUAUAUUUUAAAAAAUAUAAAUAAUACUGAAAUUUUAAGGAUUGAUUCCUUCUAUGGAAAUAUUCCAUAAUAAAAAAAUUGUUUUAUAUAUUUAUAAUUUAUUAUGACUAUAUAUUUAUCAUUAAAUAUAUUAAAAAAGAUUAUUGUUAAUUUUGAUAACAUAACUUAUCGAUCCUACAAUACAUAAAGAUUUAUAUAUGAAUGUAUACAAAAUGAUUCGUAUUUCAUAAUACAAAUUAGGUCAGGGAAAUUUUAAAACUAUAAAUAAGAAAUAUGUAAUACAAUUUUGUUUAUAUUCGUUUUUGAGUUUGAAAAUGUUUUAAAUAUAAAAAAUUAGUUAAAUUUUAAUUGGAUACAAAUGAACUUUUAAUAAAUGAUUACUCUGCAUAUAAAAAUAAACAAAAAAUGUAGAACAAAAUUUUAUCGCUUCUUUGUUUUUGAAUCGAAAAAGUUUGUUUUUGAAAAUCAAAUUGAAUAUACAAAGAACGAGUAAUCGAUAAUUUUUACAUAUUCUAUACUUUUUGCUUCUUUUCACACUUGGAAUAAUUUUCUCUCAACAUUUUAUCAUUCAUAUAUUAUAAAAAAUUAAUUAAUUUCACUUGUGUAUUUGAACAAUUUUUAAAUUUGAUUUAUUCAAAAACGAAAUUUCUUAUAUAAUUUUGUUAUUCUUGAGUCGACUUAUUUUGAGUCAUAAAAUCUGUCUGAUCCUAUUUGUACUAUGAAUGACGGACCAGCCAGUAUAAGAGCAAAAUAGACAGAAAAGGCGCAACGAGGAUAAAAGCCUCCUGACCUUUCCAUUAUCUCGACAAACGUAAAUAACGCGAAGCGAAAUUUUUGCGUUUUCGAACAGAAUAUCAACAUUUUGUGAAUAUUUUUUGAAUUCGUGGUAAGACGUUUAAGCAACAUGUUUUUCAUCGACGUUACGAUCGUAGUAAAUUCGCAAGUAAGCAAAUAUGAUACUUGUUUGGAUGUUCGAACGAACUAAGGUAGAAAAUUUAAGGAGCGAUUCUAGAAAAACUAAACACAAAAGUUGAUUAUGCAAAAAUAUUCGUUCAAACUUCUUUCGUAUUAUAAGCGAUUUAAUUUUGCACUACAUGAAGUGAGAUGGAAAGAGAAUGAUGAAAACAGAACUAUUCACUGCAGGUUGUUUCACUUUAUCUAAUAUAAAGUUAAAUUCUUUUUAACUUGAAAAAUAAACUUGAACAAUUUUUGCAUAUUUUGUGUGUGUUUUAAUUUUUAAAAUUAAACAAUUUUUUAAAUUUUCUACUUACUUCGUCCAAACACUUUAUGAAUAAUAUAUAACAAAUAUAACGUAAAAAUUGCUAGUCGGAACUACAUAAAGACAAAAAUCUUUCCUAUCUUUUAUCAAUACGUGAUGACUUUAUCUGCAAAUAUGAUACUUUCUACAAAUACCCUUAUUUUUACGAAUCCGUUGAAAUCGACCAAUUAGACCCACAUUCUUCCCAAGUGCCAACUUACCAGUAAUGCAAGUGCAUACACGCUUAAGCUCAUUAACAAACAAUCGAAGUAAAGGAGAGGCGCUGAGAUCAGUAGAGAUCGGUGUCGAGGUCAGAUCGGUCGAAUAGAUUAAAUAACUGAAAUAACUUCGCAUUGAUUCGGUUGGUUUCGUGUUUUUACGAUUUCGGAAAGGAAGGAAAUAAUAGCUCGAUUCGACUCGAGCGUGGGCGUGGAUUGCGCGGUCGGUUGCGUGGGCCGAAACCGGGAACGUUUAAAGAAUGUUGCCGAUGGAAGUUGUUUAAAGCACACCGAUGAAAACGCGGGCAACGAGCCGAACUUGGUGUUCUCGAUGGAAACGUAAUCGACGAACCGUCAACGGCAGAUACCGUACCGUUUCAAGCGGAGUGCGACGCAUCGCGUAGGCGUUCGCCGGUGCUGGAGAUGCGGGAUUGUCGAAAAUGGUAUAUAGAAACGCGAGUGGAGAUGGUGUGUAGGUGCGGUCGGAACUUCGAUAACGCCAGUUUGCCAUAGGAAACUGACUAUUCGCGCUCGUGCGCGCGAUCACUUGGAAUCGAUAAUUCACUCGUGACAAGUCGUCCUUCCCAUUUAUCAUAAUGAUCGAUUCGAAUAAUCCACGAGGCUCGUGUAACGUGGAAUUUUUUAGCUAAGCUCACAAGCGUUAUAUUCAUUUUUUUUUAUCGUAAUAUUAUAUUAUAGAACGCAUAAAACGAACAUGGCUCGUAUGAUCAUUAUGUCUCUAAUGUAAACAGUAAUAGACUGGAGACGUAGUAUUGCUUUGGAAUACAAUUACGAAAGAACUGUUAUAACAAAAAUUCUAAUUCUCUUGUUUAUUUAGCUAACGUUAUUGAGUUGUAAUAGUUUCGCUAAAUGAUAUUCCGGUUAUUAAUCAAAAAAUAAGUGUUAUAACUGCUAUGACUGUAUAAUGAAUUGGUUGUAACACAAUUUUAUCGAUAAAAAAUUAAAAUUUGUUCGCUGAAAAAUUAUAAUGAAUAAAAUUAAAUAAUCUUAUUUAUGUAUAAAAAAAACUAAUUAAAAA